AUACUGUACACAGAUGUUCCAUUUUUAGCAGUGUUUGUGGUGUUUAAUCAUAUUCUAAGAGAACUGCACUCUUCUGUUGUGCUGAAGUAAAUAUGUUGGAUUUUUUUAUUAUUAUUAUUCUUUUGAAAGUAACCUUUGCUUAUACCAUCUUUCAUUAUGUUUUGUCUCCCUGCAGGCUUGUAUGAGUGAGAGCAGAGCUGAGCAUCCAACUUGCAGUGGGGCCAGAGAGUGGCGGCAUUUUAAUAAAGGUAGAGAUGGUAUCUCACAGGGACAGCUAUAACUUUAAGGUAAUUCAGGUCAAACAAUAUCACAUGCACAGGCCUCAUCAGUCUAACACCGUAACCUUUCCAAAUGUCUCCUUGCUUGUGUGUCUUAUUUUUGAGGCUUUACUCUCCAAGCUUUCGUCUGUGAUUGCAGAGGUACAGUAGAUCAGCAGCUGAGGUGUUGACACAAACAGUUUGCUGUGGAUAUGUGGUUAUUGUUUGUAUUUUACUUUCCUCACACUGCCUUUGUCCUUUAUUCCCUGUCUCUCUCUUUCUCCUUUUCUGUCCCAGCACCAGGUGGAGGUUCUGUUCUCAGUCAGACAGAUGCUGUCACCAUCCAUCCACUGUCAACCAGUUGGUCUCAGAACAUGAGUGAGGCCUUAACAACGCCCCACACCACUGCUGAGAUCUCUGCACUUGCUCAGCUUCCGUCUUUGUGUGUAUGGGACACACAAAUCCACCUGCAGGAGGGUGUGGAAGCUCUGCAAAUUGAGGUCAGGAGACAUAACGCUGAGCUUGACGAGAGGAGGAUUGAAGAGGAGAGGAUUCAGCUACUGUAUAUCGACCAGGCCUCGGUGACACAGCAGCUGCUGGGGACCUGCUCGGUGCUCUGAGCUUUGACUACGAGAGGAGCUUUGAUUAGUCGAGCAGAGAGCCUACAGACGUGGAGAGGAGUCGCUGCCGAACUCCUCCUGCCUGUGUGUCCUCCCAGCAGCCGUGAUGGUUGCAGAGUUGGGACAGUUUCUAACGGCUCACGAGAGAGGAACCUUGUCUGGAUUUGGACAUAAGAUUUGGACUCCACCUUUCCAAUCCAGUGGACAUUUAAUUGUUGAUGAUAAGCACUUAAAAAACACAAAAGGAGGAAUCUGCUAAACCUCAGAGUCUGGGGAAGAUGACUUGUGGUGUCACAAAAAACUACAGAGAUGGUUUUUAUAUGUCAGGUAAUUACUUAGUCUCGUUUGAUGAUUUAUCUGAUGUGUGUUUGUCUUACAAGUUCCUGUUAACAUUCAGACAUGGCUGUUAUUAUACUUUUAGAAUGUAUGACACUCAAAAACAAAAUGUAUUUUACUAACUAUAUUCGGAAAUGUCAUUUAUCUGCGUAGGUGGAAAAAUAGCUGUGUGCCUUACUACAGUAUUUGUUGUAUUUGUCAGAAUGUUUUAAUUUCCUUAGAUUUUAGUUGAUGUAAAUUGACUACAUGAUGAGCUAAGAGGAAUAUUAAUCUAUUCUUUAUGAUUAGGUUUCUUUACAUUGAUUUCUGCAGAAGAAAAGUCAAGCCCUUGAUGUGUUUUGAGUCACAUACAGUAACUACUCCUGGAGCCAUAGACCCCACAAGCCAGUGUAGCCAAAAUCUUAAUGAAUAUGGGCAGAUAGACAAGAAAUUGCAGCCAAAUAAAAGAAUAAU